rnacentral:rRNA from 1 species
CCUACGGGUGGCUGCAGUGGGGAAUAUUGGACAAUGGGGGGAACCCUGAUCCAGCCAUGCCGCGUGUGUGAAGAAGGCCCUCGGGUUGUAAAGCACUUUCAGUGAGGAAGAACGCCUGGUGGUUAAUACCCAUCAGGAAAGACAUCACUCACAGAAGAAGCACCGGCUAACUCCGUGCCAGCAGCCGCGGUAAUACGGCGGGUGCGAGCGUUAAUCGGAAUUACUGGGCGUAAAGCGCGCGUAGGUGGCUUGAUAAGCCGGUUGUGAAAGCCCCGGGCUCAACCUGGGAACGGCAUCCGGAACUGUCAAGCUAGAGUGCAGGAGAGGAAGGUAGAAUUCCCGGUGUAGCGGUGAAAUGCGUAGAGAUCGGGAGGAAUACCAGUGGCGAAGGCGGCCUUCUGGACUGACACUGACACUGAGGUGCGAAAGCGUGGGUAGCAAACAGGAUUAGAUACCCUAGUAGUC